rnacentral:rRNA from 1 species
GAUGAACGCUGGCGGCGUGCCUAAUACAUGCAAGUCGAGCGAAGCGGGGACGGGUGAGUAACACGUAGAUAACCUCCUAUACGUCUGGGAUAACUUCGGGAAACCGGAGCUAAACCGGCUCCUUAUAGAUGGAUCCUCGCUGCAUUAGCUAGUUGGUACGGUAACGGCUCACCAAGGCAACGAUGCAUAGCCGACCUGAGAGGGUGGUCGGGCACACUGGAACGGAGACACGGUCCAGACCACUACGGUAGGCAGCAGAAGGGAAUCGUCCGCAAGGGGCGAAAGCCUAACGGGACAACGCCGAGUGAGGGAAGAAGUGCUGCGGAUCGGAAAACUCUGUUAUUAGGGAAGCGGUACCUAAUCAGAAAGCCACGGCUAACUACGUGCCAGCCGCCGCGGUAAUAC